rnacentral:lncRNA from 1 species
UGUAAAAAGUAAUGAAACAAAAAAAAAAUGAAAAGAGUAUUAAUUUGAAUAAUAGUUAUAAUUUGAAUAAAAAUAUGAACGUUCAUACAAAUUUGUUUCCAAUAUCCAGUAAUGUGUUAAGUGAUAGUGCUAAUACUAAUGGUAAUGUUUUUUUAAAAAAAAAGGAUAGUGGUAAAGAUAGUGGCAAAGAUAGUGGUAAGGAUAGUGGUAAAGAUAGUGGUAAAGAUAGUGGUAAGGAGAGUGAUAAAGAUAGUGGUAAAGAUAGUGAUAAAGAUAGUGAUAAAGAUAGUGAUAGUUAUAAUGAAGAAACGUUUAAAAAAAAUAUGAAUGUUGUAGAAUUAAGUUUUAGUGUAAUAAAUAAAUGGAAUAACCCCAUCGAUUUGGUAGAGUUUGUAAAAAAUAAUUUAAAAAAUAACGAAUUUAUGUACAUAAAAAGAUUAGGCAACAACAGAUAUGAAAAAGUAAGUUGUGCAAACAAAAAAGACCCUAAUAUAAUGUCAAUUUCUUUAAACGGAGUUUUGGUUAAUGAAAAAAAUGAUACGAUAUUUUAUGAACUCAAUGAAUGGAAAGACAAUGUAAUUUUAUUAAAGAAUGCUAAAAAUUUAAAAUUUGUUAAAAAGUACCAUUUAUAUAAAUAUUUUUUUUUACUAAAAAAUAUGAUAAAAUAUAAUAAAUUUCGAAAUAGAAAAAAUUAUAUACAAAAUAAUUUAUUACAUUUAAAUAAACAAUUGUUUAUAGCUUUAAUACAAAUACAUACAAUAUUACAAGAGUUAAAUGAAAUUAAAAUAAUUGAUACUAAUAUAAAUAAUAUGAGUAUAGACGAUUUUAAAGAAUUACAAAAUGAUUAUAUUGUUUAUUUUAGUAGAACAUUAAAAAUAAAUUUAAAAAAUAUCGUAGAUAUAAUAUGCAAACAUUCUACAAAAGCAUUAUAUGAUUACUUAAGUAGUAAUGGGAUAAAUCAAGAAGAUAUAUCGGUUUCGAAAAACGCUCGGUUUAGUCUUGUUGCCAAAACAAGCACAAUUUCAGCUCUUACAACUGCUACUGUCACAACUUCUGCAGCCACGGCUCCUACUACUGCUAUUACUACACUUUCCAAAGCAAGGGAAAAAAAUAAAAAAAAAAAAGUGCUAGUAAAAAAAAGUAAAAAAGUAAGUACAAAUAUACCCAUAACUAUGCGUCAAAAUGUACCUACAACUGUGAACCAAAAUGCAACCACAACUGUUCAACAAAAUGCAACCAUAGAUGUAAAUAUUUAUUACAAUAAAAUCACAUUAAGUAGUUGUUUUGCUAUUUAUAUAAAAAAGUUUAUAAGCCUGAAUCAAUACUUAUGUAAUAACACGUUGAGGAAUAUUAUUAUUAAUACAUAUGAAUAUCUUCUUAAGUUAUUAAAUGUUUAUUUUGUAGAAUGUGAUGAAGGUGAUAAUAACUUGACUAAUAUUUCUACAGUUAAAAGUAGAGAUACAAUUUUAAGAACAGGUGUUAUGGAUAAUGUUAAUGCAGGAAAUAAUAAUAACAUAAUGCCAUUAUCUUUACAAAGAAACAAUAUAAUUAAGGAAGGUGUACAUACUGUGGAUAAAUUACAAACACAAGAAGAACAAAAGAUUAGUAAUAAUAUUACAAAUAUAUUAACAUGUAAUGAAAAAUAUAGCAACAUAAACAAAGUAAAUAAUAAAAUAAGAUAUAAACUAAAAGAAUUAGACGGUGAUAAUAAUAAUAAUAAUAAUGAUACUAUUAUGGGUAGUGGUAGUCCUACAAAUACAGUUACAAAUAAAAACACGAACGAAAAUAAUAAAAACAUCAGUUCUUUUGGUAAAAAUAUAAUUAACAUUUAUGAUAGAAGUCAUAGCGCACAAAAUAAAAUAAACGAAGUAUGUUUAUUUAAUAUAGUAAUAACAAUAGAAGAUAAUAAACCUAAAAUAAGACCAGAAUUAGAUUUUUUAAUAAAUACAAUAGAAUAUUAUAUUAACAUUAAUAUAAAAUGUUUAAAUAAUAGAGAACCGUUUAUUAGUGAUGUUAAAAUAAAAAAUUUUUUUAAAAAUGAGAUUUAUGUUGAUAGCAUUAUAAGUAGUAACAAGCAGGAUUAUGAUUAUACUAGCCAUAACAACAGUGUAGAAAAUAUAACCAGUGGUAAUGUAACCAGUGUUAAUGUAACCAGUGUUAAUGUAACCAGUGGUAAUGUAACCAGUGGUAAUGUAACCAGUGGUAAUGUAACCAAUCGCAAUACAACCAAUCGCAAUACAACCAAUCGCAAUACAACCAAUCGAAUUACAACCAGUGGUAAUACAACCAGUGGAAAUGUAACCAAAGUAGUACACUAUACAAAUCCUAAUCAACCAAACGAAGUCGAUACGUUUAGUUUUUCUUCUGAUGAUUUAUUAUACCAAUUAAAUUACGAAGUUAAACAUAAAAUAUCGAUUUUGUAUAAUUCGAUGGUAAACAGUUGUAAUUAUUUAUACGAAAUAAUAGAAUUAUUUAAUAAAUACAAAAGUGUAAACAUAAAAGAGUUAGAUAUAAUGAACGUUAGUAUGGUUUCCAAUUUAUUUAUAUCUUUAAAAGAUUUAGAAAAUCGUAUAAAAAAAAUAAAUAAACAAACAAAUGUAAAUAUAUUUAAAGUGGAUAGUAGUAUAUUAACAAAUAGUUUAUUAAAAAGUAUAAAUACAUUAUGGGAUGAUAUAAUAAAAUAUUUACCUUCGCUUAAUAAAGAAGUUAUUGAUACGUUAGCAAAUAAAUUAAACAAUGCAUAUUCUAUUAUUACUAAAACACCAAAUAAUAUAUUCGAACUUGUAAAAUAUGUUGAUUUUAUUAAUUCAUUUAACAACGAAUUAGUAACAAUAGAUGAAUCAAUUGAAUCUAUCACUACUAUGUUUUUAUUUUUUAAAAAAUAUUAUAUAACUAUUGAUGGAAAUAAUACAACUAAGUUAUUCUAUAUAAAUCAAAAAAUGAAUGCAGUAAAAAGUAUACUAUUAAAUAAAAAUGCUUAUAAUUUACAAUUUAAAGAUCUAUAUGAAGACUUAGAAAAAUAUAUAAGUUCUAUAGAAAAACAAAUUCAAAAAUAUAUAAGUAUUAUGAAGUUAAAUUUUUUUAAAUUUGAUUUUACAUUAUUUACUCUUGAGGAUAUACAGAAUAUGCUUAAAUGUGUGGUUCCUAUAAAAGACAUUACCGAGGUGUUUUACGAUGUAUCACGUGUGGGUGUUCAUACAAAAGGGGGGAGUUCCCACAGACUCUACACCCGAUACAUCUAAUACAUCCAAUACAUCUAAUACAUCCAAUACAUCUAAUACACCAAAUACAUCUAAUACACCAAAUACAUCUAAUACAUCUAAUACACCCGGUACUUUCCACACCUCCCACACAGAUGACGUACUCGAAAAUUUAUACAACGAAACAAACAAAAUUCUGUCGACCCUAAAAAUAAACGAACAAAACGAAAUUGUGUUAUUAUUCCC